rnacentral:rRNA from 1 species
GAUGAGAGACUUAUCACCUUGCAGCCCAAGACCGGUAUCUCACUGAAGCUUAGAAGGGCUGAGCCAGCUUAGUACCUGGAUGAGAAACCACAUGGGAAAACUAGGUUGCUGCCAGAA